CGAGGGGUGAGGGACGCGCCCCAAGGCACAGCGGUCGCCACCUAAACACGAGCCACGGAGCCCCUGGCACCCAGACACGAACCUGCUCUGUCUGUUCCAGAGGAAUCGAUGCUACAGAGGAAUUCACGAAGUGCGGCAGGCAAAGAUUUAAAAUACAUUUCCGAGUGUCCCACUUGGCACUGAGGAGGUUUUUAGGAGUUAAAUGCAAUGUGUAAUGCUGUUAGCAAAGUGCUUAAUCUCCGCUAGACUCUGAGGUGAGCGCCUCCCUCCAGUAAAUGGGAUAAGGAGGAGGAGCUCAGCGUUUCUUUGGAACUCCUGCCCGCCACCUUGCACGAUGUGACCGAGCCUGAUCCCCAAACACUGCCAGUCCCAAGCACCGGAGCAGUUUAAGUAUUGAUCAUCUCCAAAUGGCAGCCAGGCCACGAGAACAAAGCAGAAUUUUGCUGGAAAUGGGUGUGGGAGGGAUCAGCUUUUGCCACCCCAAGUGACUCUUAACAGUCCGUUAAAAAUGUGUUCUUUUUGCUAUGCUCUGACGUUAGCGCUUUGAAAGACCUUGUAUGGAAGAGUUAAAAACAAAUUCAAGGCACACAAACUAAUACAAAUAUUAAAUUUGUAUUUUUGCUCUUAA